rnacentral:rRNA from 1 species
GUAUGCCUACGGGGCGCAGCAGUGGGGAAUAUUGGUCAAUGGUCGGGAGACUGAACCAGCCAAGCCGCGUGAGGGAUGAAGGUACAGAGUAUCGUAAACCUCUUUUGUCAGGGAACAAAGGCGGGGACGUGUCCCCGGAUGAGUGUACCUGAAGAAAAAGCAUCGGCUAACUCCGUGCCAGCAGCCGCGGUAAUACGGAGGAUGCGAGCGUUAUCCGGAUUUAUUGGGUUUAAAGGGUGCGCAGGCGGAAGCGCAAGUCAGCGGUAAAAUUGAGAGGCUCAACCUCUUCCCGCCGUUUAAACUGC